UAAACGAUAUUUUUAGAAGGU
rnacentral:piRNA from 1 species